rnacentral:rRNA from 1 species
UACGUAGGGGGCAAGCGUUGUCCGGAAUCAUUGGGCGUAAAGAGCGUGUAGGCGGCCCGGUAAGUCUGUUGUGAAAGUCCAGGGCUCAACCCUGGAAAGCCGAUGGAUACUGCCGGGCUAGAGUUCGGAAGAGGCGAGUGGAAUUCCUGGUGUAGCGGUGGAAUGCGCAGAUAUCAGGAGGAACACCUAUAGCGAAGGCAGCUCGCUGGGACGACACUGACGCUGGAGACGCGAAAGCGUGGGGAGCAAACAGG